rnacentral:misc_RNA from 1 species
GAUGAAGAACGUAGCGAAAUGCGAUACGUAAUGUGAAUUGCAAAUUCAGUGAAUCAUCGAGUCUUUGAACGCACAUUGCGCCCCCUGGUAUUCCGGGGGGCAUGCCUGUCCGAGCGUCAUUGCUGCCCUCAAGCACGGCUUGUGAGUUGGGCCCCGUCCUCCGAUUCCGGGGGACGGGCCCGAAAGGCAGCGGCGGCACCGCGUCCGGUCCUCGAGCGUAUGGGGCUUUGUCACCCGCUCUGUAGGCCCGGCCGGCGCUUGCCGAUCAACCCAAAUUUUUAUCCAGGUUGACCUCGGAUCAGGUAGGGAUACCCGCUGAACUUAAGCAUAUCAAUAAGCGGAGGA